CCGGCGGAAUUACUGGCUCCAUGGACCGGCGAUAUCGCGGCUGAAGGCAUAAGCCGGGUUUUACGGCGCGGAGCGACCUUUCUUAAUCACAGUGCGCGGCGUCAGCAGAGGUAUGUCGCUGAUGCGCUGACAGAAGAGUGGCGUCUGGCGCCCGGCGCGCUGGAAGUUGUAUGGUUUGCUGAAGAAGUCGCUGCCGUCGAACGUGCAGCAGAUAAUCUAACGACACGGCUGGAAAAACUGGAGGACAAAUGA
rnacentral:sRNA from 1 species